CACAUAUUCAUGGCCUUUGAUCCAGUCACCCUUCUCCUAAGAAUUCACCUUAAGAAACUACAUGACCAAGAGGAAACAAGAGAUAAACGAACUGAAACUUAAGGAGGUUAAUUUACUUGCUGGGUCCAGAGCUAUUGUAUAGUGGAAAUGGGAUUCAUUCCCAGGCCAUUUUGCUUCCAGAGCUGCAGUCUUAAUCACCAUUCUCCACUCCCUGGUGCAUAACAGUCCACAGAUCCUGCCAAGUGGGCAACAGACCAGGUGAUACUGUCUCCCCAGACUCAGCUGAUUGUACCUUGUGAGGACCUGGGUCUCAGGGAUGACCCAUCCAUAGGCCAAUGGCCCAUGACAUAGCCUGGCUCAGCCAGUAAAUCAGCCAAAUCCUUCUCUCAGAAAUUAAGGCAAAGACACCCAAAAAGAAGUUCUAAUGGCUGGAUUUGGAGAUUAUGCAGAUUUGGAAACUGAACAUCAUUUUUGGCUGUGUAGACAAAUAAUCAAAAAUAUCCAGCUGGAAAGGAAGAAGAUACAGGACGCAAUGUAGAGAGAGAGACUUUGCUGUGAGGGGAG